CUCUCCAGAGCCGAAGGUAUAUUCAGAUAACCUUUCUUCGAGAAAAAAAAAAAAUAAAAAAAUAGCCAUUUUCAAGAAAAAUAAGAAUUUCCUUUAGUGUUUUCAAAUAGUAAGCGUUCUGAAUUUCUUGUUGACUGUGUCUCUUCUGAUUAUCAGUAUGUUUAUCACCAUUAUUUUUUCUGGGUAGGAAAGAUCUGUUUUCCUGAAACAAAUGGAAUGUACAAAUUGAGAUCUGGGAUUACAACCAUUGAAGUUGCAUCUUAUAUUAUUUGUGAAUUUAUGUGUGUUGAUGAUACUCCUAACCUGAAUCCAAGAAAGAGAUUUGAUUUUGAUUAUCUGAAACCUAUAAUUCUAGUACGUUCUUUUACAUUCAAAGAGCUUUUGAUUCUACUCGCCAUCAAAACUUGAUUCCAGAUCCCCUUUAGCUUUUUAACUAAUAAAGCCAAUAUUAUUUUGAUCAGAUAUUUGCAAAGAUGAGGGGAGGUGGGUUGUGGCAACUUGGUCAAUCAUUUACUCGCCGUCUGGCUCAGGAUAAGAAAACUAUAGUUCGUCGAUGCUUUGCAUCAGAAACUGAGCUCAAGAAGACAGCUCUCUAUGAUUUCCAUGUUGCCAAUGGGGGGAAGAUGGUUCCAUUUGCUGGUUGGAGCAUGCCAAUCCAAUACAAGGACUCAAUUAUGGACUCUACGUUAAACUGCAGGGAAAAUGGCAGUCUAUUUGACGUUGCUCACAUGUGUGGUCUAAGCCUCAAAGGAAAGGAUUGCAUUCCUUUUCUUGAAAAGCUGGUGGUUGCCGAUGUUGCUGGUCUUGCACCUGGGACUGGGACUCUGACAGUCUUCACUAAUGAGAAGGGAGGGGCUAUUGAUGAUUCAGUGAUCACCAAGGUGACAGAUGAUCACAUAUACUUGGUCGUGAAUGCUGGAUGCAGAGACAAGGAUCUUGCUCAUAUUGAGGAACAUAUGAAGGCAUUCACGUUGAAAGGUGGGGAUGUGUCGUGGCACAUCCACGAUGAGCGGUCUCUUCUGGCUCUCCAAGUGAGUUAUUGCUUUUCUUCGGUGAUUAUCUGUGAAAGUUAACCUAAUCAAUAUUAUUAAUCGAUUUAGAUAAUGUUUAGACUCUAGAACAUGCACAAUGGAAUUAAAAUUAGCAACUAAAAGUAAUAAGUCACUUUUCAAUUGUUUUUAGGUGGUUAAUCAAUCACGUCAAUUUAUCCUAUUUUAAAUUAUUACAAUUUGUAAUACAAAAGCAAUAAAGAACACCAAAUUGAUCAUGGAGAAAACCCUUCGCAAAGGGUCAAAAACUCUGGGCUCUUUGCCGGUCAAUAAUCCACUAUAAACGAAACAACUUACAGUAUGGUCUAGACCCGACUAACCAUUAAUACCCUUUGGCCUUCUUUUCUUGUAGUCACCCUUGAUCCUACUGGACUGCUUGCUCCUUACACCAGAUCCCGACUCCUGGAAUAUCGCCUUGACCCUCUUGGACUGCGUGCUCCUCACACUAAUCCCGACCCUUGGUAUAUAACCUUAGCCCUCCUAGACUACAUGAUUCUGCACCAUCUCCCGAUCCUUGGUAUUGUUUAUCUCAGGUGGUUUGGUGUUUGAUCAAAAGACCUCCCAUGUUUUGAUCUUGUGGUUUAAUAUGGAACAAUAUAUGUUUUAGAAGAAUUUAUAAAUCAAGUAAUGUGGUGGUUGAAUCUUGAAAUCAGUGGAUGUUUUGAAUUAUCAAAGAAUUGAUUCCUUUGGGAUUCAACACACUAUGUGAUGUCUAUUGGUCAGUAUAUAUAGGGAAAAGUAUUUGGAAUGGAAAGGGUGAUUUUUGCAAACAGGGAUUUCUGGAUGUCGACUAUUGCUUGAGCGCAAGGUGAGCGGCCCGCUUGUCGCUCAAGCACCAGUCUAGUGUUAGACGGGCAACAGAUGUUCUGUUUCUAUCUCUAGAGCGCCUGCUGGGCGGCAGGCUAGUGGAAAUGAGUAAUUCUCAAUAUCAACUUCUUUAAGUCCAAAUCUUGAUCUUCUUCUUGUAUUUCUUUGACUUCAUUUUGGACUCUAUCAACCCCAAACAAUACUUACCAUAACUUGGACUAUUCUAAACCAAUUCAGGCUUUGAUUACAAUAUAAUCAAAUCCUAAUACAACUCUAAUAAAUUAUGAUUUUUGUCUUAGGAAAUUGCCAAUUACAAAAUAGACUUUACAAUCUGGAUAUUAUAUGAUAAUAAAAUUUAAAACUUUAAUCUUAAUGCUAUUGAACAUGAAUGGUAUUCAUGAAUUGGGCCCUAUCCUUAUAAAAACUCAAAUAUAUUAAUAAAAGUGAUUGCUUUACAUAAUGACAUUGUGGUAUUCGUGUAUCGUAGCUGGCCAAAAUGUCGAGAUCAAUAAUCAUGAUAUUUGUUGCCUCUUUAUCAUAUCUCACAUUUAUAUUUUUUUUCCUUGUCCUGCCUUGUUCGCAGAUGUUUGCCCAUGCUCUUGCUUACAAUUUUGGUAAUGUAGUGUUUAUUGAAGAAUGCAGUAUAACUCUGUAUCCUUAAGUGUUUGCUGUGCUAACAUAGGCAUCACAAAUAACAAUAUUCUGUGAUGUAAAGUAGCUUGUCUACUGUGGUUGCUUCUUGAAUGCAUUGGUAGGUCACUGGGAACACUGAGUCUACUUCUGGUCUAUAUUCUAUUUUCACUUCGCUUGUGCUGAAUUUAUUCACUUGCUCUGUUGCUCUAAAUGAAGAUAUAUUUUGUCCUUGGAUUUCUUUGAGUCAGUUGUCUUUCUUUAUUGUACAUUUUUCUUCAUCGGUUCUUUAUUUCCCUGCAUAUAAUUGGAGGUAGACACUGAGAUUUUCAACUUGUGCUCUAACUCUGAUUAUUUCCCUUGACGUUUCUGGUGCAGGGUCCCCUUGCUGCCACAGCUCUACAGCACCUGACAAAGGAAGAUUUGAGCAAGGUGUACUUUAGCGACUUUCGGAUCUUGGAUAUCAAUGGGGUGCCUUGCUUUCUUACACGAACAGGGUAUGUUGCUUUCUGGACAUUGUAUCUGUUGAUCACUGUCUUUAUGUGAAGAGAGGGCAUAAUGAGAACUUACCUUCUGGGAGUUAUGCCAACAGUUUACUUUAUCUUUCCGAAAUAGAAUUGAUAAACCAGAAAAAAAUCUUAAGUCCAGCGAAAAGCCAUGGCAGGGUUGAUUAGAUUGGCAUAAAUUGAUAACUUUGUUAUUUCAUCUUGCUUCCAGAUUGUUCUGCAAUUAUCAGAAGUAAAUUUCCCUUCACUCCCUCCUCACUGAUGUCAUAUGUUUUCUCUCUUCGUGCUUUUGAACUCUUACCCUUUUGUUGGAGAAAAAAACACGGGUUUUUCAAAACAUGAGUCAGUCAAGUUUAUGAACUUUCAGGUAUACAGGUGAAGAUGGGUUUGAAAUUUCAGUUCCUUCAGAGCAUGCAGUUGAUCUGGCAAAAGCUAUACUGGAGAAAUCUGAAGGCAAAGUACGGUUGACAGGAUUAGGCGCCCGAGACAGUCUUCGACUGGAAGCUGGGUUGUGCUUGUAUGGAAAUGACAUGGAACAGCACACCACACCAGUCGAGGCAGGACUUACGUGGGCCAUAGGUAAGAGAAGACGGGCUGAAGGAGGAUUCCUUGGUGCUGAAGUAAUACUCAAACAAAUCGAACAGGGACCAUCCAUUAGGCGAGUUGGUUUUUUCUCCUCAGGUCCACCUCCAAGAAGUCACAGUGAAAUUCAGGAUGAGAAGGGGCAAAACAUAGGGGAAGUCACCAGUGGAGGGUUUAGCCCCUGUCUGAAGAAAAACAUAGCCAUGGGAUAUGUGAAAUCUGGACUCCACAAGGCAGGCACCAAUGUAAAAAUUAUCAUUAGGGGUAAGUCCUAUGAUGGAGCUGUUACAAAAAUGCCUUUUGUACCCACAAAGUACUACAAGCCAUCUUAAUUGUUUGUUGGCUCCUGAAAUUUUCAGAUUUUCAUAUCUGAAUUGUUUUUCAGUAAUACUAAAGAUGCUUUAAUCAGUUCUGAUCUUCAUUACUGUUGAGUUUGCCAAGUUAAAUGAAGUACUCUGUUUUAUGUGAACUAGAAAUUGAACUUGUAGGGCAUCUUUGUUACAAUGUACUGGACUCGAAUCCAUUAUUGUUUUACAUGCAGAAGACCUUAAACAACAGAAUACAACAGGAAGAUACUGGGGUUAUGAAAACACAGAUUCAUGCAUAAAAAC
rnacentral:lncRNA from 1 species